rnacentral:rRNA from 1 species
GCGCAGCAGUCGAGAAACCUCCGCAAUGCGGGAAACCGCGACGGGGGGACCCCGAGUGCCGUGGCAACGCCACGGCUUUUCCGGAGUGUAAAAAAGCUCCGGGAAUAAGGGCUGGGCAAGGCCGGUGGCAGCCGCCGCGGUAAUACCGGCGGCCCGAGUGGUGGCCGCUAUUAUUGGGCCUAAAGCGUCCGUAGCCGGGCCCGUAAGUCCCUGGCGAAAUCCCACGGCUCAACCGUGGGGCUUGCUGGGGAUACUGCGGGUCUUGGGACCGGGAGAGGCGGGGGGUACCCCUGGGGUAGGGGUGGAAAUCCGUAUAAUCCCAGGGGGACCGCCAGUGGCGAAGGCGCCCCGCUGGAACGGGUCCGACGGUGAGGGACG